rnacentral:rRNA from 1 species
GACGAACGCUGGCGGCGUGCUUAACACAUGCAAGUCGAACGGAAAGGCCCUGCCUUUGUGGGGUGCUCGAGUGGCGAACGGGUGAGUAACACGUGAGUAACCUGCCCUUGACUUUGGGAUAACUUCAGGAAACUGGGGCUAAUACCGGAUAGGAGUUCCUGCUGCAUGGUGGGGGUUGGAAAGUUUCGGCGGUUGGGGAUGGACUCGCGGCUUAUCAGCUUGUUGGUGGGGUAGUGGCUUACCAAGGCUUUGACGGGUAGCCGGCCUGAGAGGGUGACCGGCCACAUUGGGACUGAGGUACGGCCCAGACUCCUACGGGAGGCAGCAGUGGGGAAUAUUGCACAAUGGGCGGAAGCCUGAUGCAGCAACGCCGCGUGCGGGAUGACGGCCUUCGGGUUGUAAACCGCUUUCGCCUGUGACGAAGCGUGAGUGACGGUAAUGGGUAAAGAAGCACCGGCUAACUACGUG